GAUGAACGCUGGCGGCGUGCCUAAUACAUGCAAGUCGAGCGAACAGACGAGGAGCUUGCUCCUUCGACGUUAGCGGCGGACGGGUGAGUAACACGUAGGUAACCUACCUAUAAGACUGGGAUAACUUCGGGAAACCGGAGCUAAUACCGGAUAAUAUUUCGAACCGCAUGGUUCGAUAGUGAAAGAUGGCUUUGCUAUCACUUAUAGAUGGACCUGCGCCGCAUUAGCUAGUUGGUAAGGUAACGGCUUACCAAGGCAACGAUACGUAGCCGACCUGAGAGGGUGAUCGGCCACACUGGAACUGAGACACGGUCCAGACUCCUACGGGAGGCAGCAGUAGGGAAUCUUCCGCAAUGGGCGAAAGCCUGACGGAGCAACGCCGCGUGAGUGAUGAAGGUCUUCGGAUCGUAAAACUCUGUUAUUAGGGAAGAACAAAUGUGUAAGUAACUGUGCACGUCUUGACGGUACCUAAUCAGAAAGCCACGGCUAACUACGUG
rnacentral:rRNA from 1 species